AACUGUUUGCAAUGCAAGAAGGGCUGGGCCCUGCAUCACCUCAAGUGUGUAGACAUUGAUGAGUGUGGCACAGAGGGAGCCAACUGUGGAGCUGACCAAUUCUGCGUGAACACUGAGGGCUCCUAUGAGUGCCGAGACUGUGCCAAGGCCUGCCUAGGCUGCAUGGGGGCAGGGCCAGGUCGCUGUAAGAAGUGUAGCCCUGGCUAUCAGCAGGUGGGCUCCAAGUGUCUCGGUGAGUCUCCUGCUGAUGGGACACAGGCACCUGGGAGUGCCUCACCCAGCAUGAAUGGUGAAGAGGCUGGAAUAUGGGCAGGUGGGGGAAGGAAGGGUGGAAUGUUGCCUGGGCAAGGGCAGAGGGGAGUGUUGAGAGAUGGACAAGAUGGAGUCAGGGUGCUGGGUAGGGGGCCCUAGCAGGACUCUGACCCCUCCCUCCCCUCAAGAUGUGGAUGAGUGUGAGACAGAGGUGUGUCCGGGAGAGAACAAGCAGUGUGAAAACACCGAGGGCGGUUAUCGCUGCAUCUGUGCCGAGGGCUACAAGCA
rnacentral:sRNA from 1 species